AAGCGCUCGUGGAUUUGCGCAGCUUUCACUGUGUGCGCGCAGGCACACACGCACGGGACAUAACAGAUAAAAUAGCGCACGCAGGCCCACAGACUCGCCCUUUAUCCGCAGAUGCUGCGCCGCGCUUACCGCCUGCUGGGCUCCACAAAUCGAUACACGGACGGGUCCGGGCGGGCGCUGGAACCAAACUCGAUUCCUCGCGACCUCUAUGUCCAGACAAUCAGCAACCGCGCCUACCCUGUGCAAGGCGAGUACUGGCAGCCGGUGACGGCUGGCAAGCCGUCUCCGCACAAGGGCAAUGUCAUCAUAUCCGGCGCUGGCGUCGUCGGCCUCACUAUGUCGGCCCAGUUCGCUCUGCGUGGAUGGCACACAACAGUGAUCGAGCGCAGCCCACCCCUGCAGCAAGUGAAGGAUAAGCCGAUGCAGACUGCGGCGGCAGCGAGCGAUGCGUCCGCUGGUGCGGUGGACCUCACCGUUAGUCCAUCUCCGCCGUCCCCGCCGCUCUCCCUCCAGCCCUAUCGUGGACCACUCCGGCGCCCUCACUUCGGCGCAGCAUCUGAGCAGAGCAGUAGCAUCAGCGCCGGCAGCCGUGAUGACGAUGGAAUGGCUGGUGUUGCUUCCUCCUCCGGCUUGGCAGAGUCGUCCUCGCCAUCGCGGUACAGUCCAUUCAUCGAGCUGCAGUACGCACUGGUAACACGCCGCGCCUUGGACGCACUAGAGGCGGCGGGGGUGCGACUCCACGCCAUCCGCGACUUGGGCGUCAAGGUGCGCGGCGUGAUGGACCACCCCGGGGCCUACAACAGCUGGAUCACUGCCGGCCUCACCGAGCACCACCCGUUCGCAGUCAACAUGCUCUCGAUGGAUUUGUUCCAGCUGCGCCGUCUACUGGAGGAGCAUGUUGCGCACAGUCUGCCGUCAGCGAACCUGCAGGUCUUUUACGAACACGUCAUCGAGGCAGUCUACCCUCUGCGUCAGCAACUUGUAGUGUGUCCGUGGGAGAACAGCACUUUGGCGAGGCAGUGGGCGGAGUCCUCCGUCGGCUCUUCGACCUCAUCCCCUACCGAGGAGGGUCGCACCGCGCAGCUUGUCGCUGAGGUCCGCCAACCUCGGCGCCAGCCACACACCAGCCUCACUCUCAGUGCCCGGAAGUGGGAGAAGAAGUACGCAGACGACGCUGUAGACUACGACUUGCUUGUGUCGGCCGAAGGCGUGAGCUCACACCUGCGAGACCUCGUGGAUGUGGAGGGAUUCGUGGCGGAUGUGGACAUGGGUGUGCGCUGGUGUCUCCUCCGUAGCGACCAGCUCAGCCACGAACACGUGCACCGCUGGUUGCACCGUCGCCGCACGACGGCCAUCACGUCGGCGCAAUCCUACCACGUCCAGACGGCGCACCAGGUGCCACUCACCCUCGCCUUUCCGCGUAUCGAGGGGAGCAACCUCUUCUCCGUCAUGGUGUACGCCCCGCAGGGUGAGUUGGCGGGCCUCGACGACGUCGAGAUGCUCCGGUACUACCUGCCGGACCUCGCCUCCUCUUCCUCCUCGUCUCCAGCGGCUGCUGAGUUGCGCUCCUUCGUCACCGACGCACAGGCCUACCCCACUGUCUACUGCGAGCAGCUGUACAACACAGUGGGGCUUCCUUCCGCCGUGCUGGUGGGCGAUGCGGCGCACACGUGUAAUCCCUUCUGGAUGCAGAGCCUCGCCCUCGGCCUCGAGGAUGGUGCGAACCUGCUGAAUCAGGUGGACGCCUACUCCCGACACUUCUACGACGCCGUGAAGCAGUACAGCAACGAGCGUGGCAGCAGCGGCGACGCGCUGCGUGAGCUGACGGACAAGUGCCUCUACUACGAGCGCCGGAAGCACGUGAGCCCGUUCAUUCGCUUCCAGAAUUCGUACCAGCACUUCAUGAAUGUCUGUAUGCCGCGUGGCUGGAACACACUCUACGAAGGCUCCGUCAACCACGUCUACUCGCGCAGCAUCGAAGAUAUGCUAAACAGCCGCGGCUACACCUCGUACGACUACGCCGAAAAGCAGCAGGCGAAGCACCGCCUCUUUUACCAUCUUGGACGGUUGUACACGUGAGAGGAGACGCGCCUGUGCGUGGGCUCUCGCUCGCCCUCCCAUCUUUCUUCGCUGCCGCACCCCAUGUUGCGUCAUCACACCGGAGAGAGACGGAGACGGAGAUGGUGAAAGGGAAAUGGUUCGAAAAAGGAGAGGGAGAUGCAACUGCUGGCAAUGGGUUGUCGACCCUGUCGCCUUAGCCUUCUCUUUUGGGGGAGGGCGUGUGAAGGGCAGCCCACUCGGGAAUUAUCGGUUGUCGUUGUUGCGGACGUGCGCCUCUCCCUCUCCUCUCUGGCUGCUUCCCGUGCCCUCUUUCCCUUUCUGUCGCUCGCAGUGGUUUUGCUGAUUCAAGCAGAUGGACAAAGUCAUUUGACGCAAGCGCAUACGUCCCAUACAUAGGCGCACGAGUGCGUGGAUGCAUGUAACACAUAUGCAUGUGUGUGUGUGUGUCGCUGUUGGUGUGUACGAGAUCGGCAUGUGGUGAUCUCAGGAUCCCCCCCCCUGCUCUCUCCUCCUCAGUAGAGGCACACUCGAUACUGGCGGCAGCACACCUACACGCUGCGGCCUAUGGCUGUGAGAAGCACCUCCUCUCCCCCCUUUCCUUGGUCGCAGCAAGCCAUCGCCUGUGCUUGCUUUGAUAACGGCAUACGGGAGUGUAUGAGGCAUGCGACAGCCAGAGCCACACAAGUGCAUCACGAGCACGGCAGACUUUUUUUUUGCCCCUCCCCCCCCCCCACUGCUGCUGCUGCUUUCCGUCUCCGCCUCCAUUCCCUCACACCCUCCAG
rnacentral:misc_RNA from 1 species